UACGUAGGGGGCGAGCGUUGUCCGAAGUUACUGGGCGUAAAGCGCGCGUAGGCGGGGGGUUAAGUGAGAGAUGAAAGGCUGGGGCUCAACCUCAUGCAGUGCCUCUCAUACUGGCCUUCUUGAGGGCGGUAGGGAGAAGUGGAAUGGCUGGUGUAGCGGUGAAAUGCGUAGAUAUCAGUCGGAACACCGGUGGCGAAGGCGGCUUCUUGGGCCGUUCCUGACGCUGAUGCGCGAAAGCUGGGGGAGCGAACGGG
rnacentral:rRNA from 1 species